UAGGGGUUAGUUUAACAAAAACAGCUACCUUCGAAUUAGCAACUUUAGGAUAAGCCUAAACCCCUAC
rnacentral:tRNA from 1 species